GACGUAGGGCGCGAGCGUUGUCCGGAUUUAUUGGGCGUAAAGAGCUCGUAGGCGGCUUGUCGCGUCAACUGUGAAAACCCGUGGCUCAACCAUGUGGUCUGCAGUCGAUACGGGCAGGCUAGAAUUCGGUAGGGGAGACUGGAAUUCCUGGUGUAGCGGUGAAAUGCGCAGAUAUCGGGAGGAACACCAGUAGCGAAGGCGGCACUCUGGGCCGGUACUGACGCUGAGGAGCGAAAGCGUGGGGAGCGAACAGG
rnacentral:rRNA from 1 species